AAGUGUUUGCUUGUCUCGAUGGCGCACGACAUACACGUCAAGUCGUGCUUGUUAACAAAUAACGCGAGGGAAUCGAAUGAAUUUGGACUGUACCCGUCUAAAACACAAGAAAGAGGCACCGUAAGGAGUUUUGAGAGCCACGUACUUCCGUUCUAUUGUGUAAUAUAAUGGGUGUACAUUACCGUAUACAGACUGUGGUGAAGUUCGGGCGUUAAAUUGUAUAGAGGAGUAGAUGGUGACAGGAGAGUGGUACUCACAUGUGUUUUAUUUCAAAGAUGAAGAUAAGUAAAAACUAUAAAAAGAGCAAAAAACCAACUGAUGUAAGAAUCGAUAAUCUUUAAUGAUUAAAUUAUUCUCGACAAUAUAUAAACUUAACUGGAGAGAAUGAGAUCGAAUAAAACCAUACAAAAACAAUUGAACGACAGGAACCAGGUUUUAUUGUGAUCAAGUAGUGAUCGAAAAACUAACAUCGAAUUUAUUUCCAACUCGUCGCUUCAGUAAAUACUUCGGAAGAAUGCGGUUGUGUCUAAAAUGCGAAAUGGCAAGUGUUGCGUACAAAUGUUGGAAUUGAUUUAAAGGAAAACGGAUCGAAAUAAAGAUGAGUAAUAAGAA